rfam:Rhodnius prolixus Rhodnius_prolixus-3.0.3-3156.3, whole genome shotgun sequence.
AAAUCAGCCUGACCACCACCAUUAUUACCAGUAACGGUGCGGGCUGGCGCGUAGAAAAGAAUCUGAAAAAGCCCGCACCUAAACAGUGCGGGCUUUUUUUAC